CAAGUCGAGCGGGGUGAUGUAGCUUGCUACAUUACCUAGCGGCGGACGGGUGAGUAAUGCUUAGGAAUCUGCCUAUUAGUGGGGGACAACAUUCCGAAAGGAAUGCUAAUACCGCAUACGCCCUACGGGGGAAAGCAGGGGAUCUUCGGACCUUGCGCUAAUAGAUGAGCCUAAGUCAGAUUAGCUAGUUGGUGGGGUAAAGGCCUACCAAGGCGACGAUCUGUAGCGGGUCUGAGAGGAUGAUCCGCCACACUGGGACUGAGACACGGCCCAGACUCCUACGGGAGGCAGCAGUGGGGAAUAUUGGACAAUGGGCGAAAGCCUGAUCCAGCCAUGCCGCGUGUGUGAAGAAGGCCUUUUGGUUGUAAAGCACUUUAAGCGAGGAGGAGGCUACUUAGAUUAAUACUCUAGGAUAGUGGACGUUACUCGCAGAAUAAGCACCGGCUAACUCUGUGCCAGCAGCCGCGGUAAUACAGAGGGUGCGAGCGUUAAUCGGAUUUACUGGGCGUAAAGCGUGCGUAGGCGGCUUCUUAAGUCGGAUGUGAAAUCCCUGAGCUUAACUUAGGAAUUGCAUUCGAUACUGGGAAGCUAGAGUAUGGGAGAGGAUGGUAGAAUUCCAGGUGUAGCGGUGAAAUGCGUAGAGAUCUGGAGGAAUACCGAUGGCGAAGGCAGCCAUCUGGCCUAAUACUGACGCUGAGGUACGAAAGCAUGGGGAGCAAACAGGAUUAGAUACCCUGGUAGUCUAUGCCGUAAACGAUGUCUACUAGCCGUUGGGGCCUUUGAGGCUUUAGUGGCGCAGCUAACGCGAUAAGUAGACCGCCUGGGGAGUACGGUCGCAAGACUAAAACUCAAAUGAAUUGACGGGGGCCCGCACAAGCGGUGGAGCAUGUGGUUUAAUUC
rnacentral:rRNA from 1 species